CCUACGGGAGGCUGCAGUGAGGAAUAUUGGUCAAUGGGCGUAAGACUGAACCAGCCAAGUCGCGUGAGGGAUGAAGGUUCUAUGGAUCGUAAACCUCUUUUAUAAGGGAAUAAAGUGUGGGACGUGUCCUGGUUUGUAUGUACCUUAUGAAUAAGGAUCGGCUAACUCCGUGCCAGCAGCCGCGGUAAUACGGGGGAUCCGAGCGUUAUCCGGAUUUAUUGGGUUUAAAGGGUGGGUAGGCGGCCUUUUAAGUCAGCGGUGAAAGUCUGUGGCUCAACCAUAGAAUUGCCGUUGAAACUGGGAGGCUUGAGUAUGUGUGAGGCAGGCGGAAGGCGGGGUGGAGCGGUGAAAGGCGUAGAUAUCGCGCAGAACCCCGAUUGCGAAGGCAGCCUGCCAAGCCAUGACUGACGCUGAGGCACGAAAGCGUGGGGAUCAAACAGGAUUAGAUACCCUUGUAGUC
rnacentral:rRNA from 1 species